CGUCGUGCCGAGUUCUGUUUGUGCGGUCGACUUUUAACGCGCUGCCUCGCAUUGUGUGUAUUGUGUGUUGUAUUUCGUGGUUACUGACGUAAGCGCAACUAUACGCGGUACCAGGCAAAUAGUCACCAGAUGCCGACCGUGCGACUUGAAUCUCUGCGACUGCUUUGUUCGGUGUGACCGACGGACGCGAUUCAUAGUUUUGAAGAACACCUUCAAAUGUUUCCGCACGUCAGUGAGUAGCAGCGCCGCAAUCCUUUGUCGACGACGCGUUCUGUCGCCCUGGAAAAUGCUUUGACGCUCGGGGACGGCCGGUAGCUCGGCGAUUCCUCGCUUGGCGCACCAUUGGAAACCGGCGGUCAUCUAGCAGUGUACGCUGCCAGCGUAUUUUUUAUUGCCAGAGGUAGCAAACAGCAGUGCCUCGACAAACAGUGGAGUGCUGACCAUGCAGUCCAGAAGGUGGCUGAGGCAAGUAUGCUAUAGGAGGUGCUUAUUCAGGCAGAAGAAAUAAGCAUCUGUAGCCAACGUAAAGGUAAUGUACAAAGUUCCAUUUAAUGAAGAAGAAUCUUGUUUUGAGCUAGUCAUGUCGAAGGGAAACAAUGAGCGCUAGAUAAAUGAGAUGGAAAUGCAGAGUAACAAUGUUAUGUAUGCCAGCAACCAACUUAAGUUUAUUCAUGCAAAAGGGUUAUUUCCAACUGGUUCAUUUAGGGGAAGAGCCCACGGUUUCCACGAAUGGGCAUACCUGGUAGCCGUUGCACAACCUGUUACUGUGUUUUCGCACUCAUUAUUAUGUGCCACUUACUCUUGUGACGUUCCACCAAGGUGAAAUUACUUCACAUAAACAGCAGCGAGAAGGCUCUUGCUAGCCAGUUCAAUUAAGACAGCGUUACCGUAGCUUUUAGUUCCAGUAAACCAGCUAAGCUGUAUAGAAGAGCGUACUUCAUGUUUGUCACCAUGGACAGUGCAUUUUGCCUGGGAUCAUGGCUUAGUUUUGCAAAGGAAAAUGUUGCCUUUCUGUAAAACGUGGUACUGGGAAAUGGCAUUGUGCCAAAAAUAUUAAGGUUUAUGACUUCUUGCAGCACGCAUUGUUGUACAGGGAUGUUAGCAUUUUCAUAAAUGCAAUGCAUGGUGCUUGAAGAAUAUAGCGGCCCACUUUAAAAUUUAUAACUUCAUGAUUUCAGUAUCUGGGACGGACUUUACUGUAUACGAUUUGUUUCUGGAAAGCUUCAACCUAUCUUGCAAUUCUUCAAGGCCAAUACUGAAUUUGCUGUGUACAUUUGGCUGCACAUUCUCAUCACUUAUGCUAAACAACAGGCUUGAGUGAUGUGUGGAAUUCCUGUCAAUCAAUUUUAUUGAUUACCUCGGACGAUCUACUCUGCUUCCCACAGUUAUUGGGUGCUUUGUGUGCAUGUGCUAUGCAUGCUAGAAAUGAAAACAGGGAAUGCAGCUGGCAGCAUCAACGAGUACAAUGCCCAUAGGCUAUUAUGAGGUGCGAAAUGUUGCCACUGCUAGAAUUUACAUUAUGUGUGCAUGGUACAGCUGAUUGUGUAAUUUAGCACUUUCCAGCUACGCAGUUGGAGCAGAUGUCGAUCAUGUUUAUUGUGGUAUGGCACGGCCACCAAGUUCGUGCAUUCUGCAUACCAGGAAACCUGACACGAAGCAACGUAUUGCUGUGAUGGCAGCUAAGUGAGAACGAAUGAGUUUGUCUUCUCUGUACAUUUGUCAAUAUCAUUACACAGGCUUGUUAAGUGCAUUCAAGCGGCUUUAGCAAUGCACUUGCAGCUACAGAGCCAGUAAAGGCAGCCAAUUUCAUCAUCAGAGUUCACUCUGCAAAUCCCACUUUCCAUAAAGGGCAUUGUUUUGUGAUAGCUUAAGGUCAAAACUUGCUCAAUUAAACACUUCUUGGUGUCUGACAUUACAUGAAUUAUGAUAAUUGUUAUAUCUCAUGUGAAAUUAUGCCAUUGUUUUUUUUCAUAUUCUUACUUUGCAUACACACUUUACGACUGCACCCUCCCCAACCGAAUCUUUACUAGUGCUACAUUCUGUUAUGGGUGAAAACAAUUAUUGAACUAAAAACCAGGCCAAGGAAAGCAGUAUGAUGCCCUGUAAUGUAGGAGGAUGCCGCUAUUGCAGUGUUUAGUCUAGAGCUGAAUUUAAUGAGAAAGGGCAGCAAUGUAGGUCAUCUGUGGAUAUUUGCAGACCAUAAUUGUGUUGUGGUCAUUUUGUUAUCGCAGGAAGCAUCUUCAAAAAGCAGUGCUACAAGGAUGUGAGCAGCAGUUUCCCUUCAACGAACGGGUCAAAUUCAUGGAAGCCACGUGCCUGCUGCUUCUGGCCUACACAAACAUGCAGCCACCAUAGUAAAGUUCUUGCAAAGACAUUCUACACGAACUUGCCCAAAGGCGGAAGGAAGGCACGCACAGAUGGACGCACAGAAAUCAUGGGGCUGCCGUAGAAGCUGUGAAUGAGCAUUAACCUACGUACAGAAAGGAGCGAAGUGGAGCUGUCCAUGGGCCGUGCACACAGUUUCAUAAGCAGGCUUGCAACACUUUUGACAAAUAUGUUCCUGAAUACAUCUGCCAAAGUGGCAUUUAAAGAAGCAUGUAGUAGUGUACUUCACUGUUUAUUUGGCAUGAAGCAGCAGGUAUGCU